UGGGCAACCUGCCCCAGACACAGGGAUAACCCCGGGAAACCGGGGCUAAUACCGGAUACUCCGGUCGAACCGCAUGGCUCGAUCGGGAAAGCUCCGACGGUCUGGGAUGGGCCCGCGGCCUAUCAGCUUGUUGGUGGGGUAACGGCUACCAAGGCGACGACGGGUAGCUGGUCUGAGAGGACGACCAGCCACACUGGAACUGAGACACGGCCCAGACUCCUACGGGAG
rnacentral:rRNA from 1 species